rnacentral:lncRNA from 1 species
UUGAAUGUGGUGAGAUAUUUAGGCUUUUGAAAAACUCCAGGUUUCAUUCAUCUUCAGUCACAACUUGGCAAGGCACACCUUUCGAAUGACUUUGUGCAUUUUGGCGGACUCUUCCUUCAUAUUCGAUGUAAAAACUCCUUAUCGUGAUCCUGUAAGUCACCACCAAGCCAAUCUAAAUCCAGGUCAAGAAUAUCAUUUGGCGA